UACAGAGGUCUCAAGCGUUGUUCGGAUUCAUUGGGCGUAAAGGGUGCGUAGGUGGCGCGCUAAGUCAGGUGUGAAAUCUCGGAGCUUAACUCCGAAACUGCAUUUGAUACUGGCGUGCUUGAGGACUGGAGAGGAGACUGGAAUUCAUGGUGUAGCAGUGAAAUGCGUAGAGAUCAUGAGGAAGAACAGUGGCGAAGGCGGGUCCCUGGACAGUUCCUGACACUGAGGCACGAAGGCCAGGGGAGCAAACGGG
rnacentral:rRNA from 1 species